UGGGUAAUCUGCCCUGCACUUCGGGAUAAGCCUGGGAAACUGGGUCUAAUACCGGAUAUGAACUCCUGCCGCAUGGUGGGGGUUGGAAAGUUUUUCGGUGCAGGAUGAGCCCGCGGCCUAUCAGCUUGUUGGUGGGGUAAUGGCCUACCAAGGCGACGACGGGUAGCCGGCCUGAGAGGGUGAUCGGCCACACUGGGACUGAGACACGGCCCAGACUCCUACGGGAGGCAGCAGUGGGGAAUAUUGCACAAUGGGCGAAAGCCUGAUGCAGCGACGCCGCGUGGGGGAUGACGGUCUUCGGAUUGUAAACCCCUUUCAGUAGGGACGAAGCGCAAGUGACGGUACCUGCAGAAGAAGCACCGGCUAACUACGUGCCAGCAGCCGCGGUAAUACGUACGGUGCGAGCGUUGUCCGGAAUUACUGGGCGUAAAGAGCUCGUAGGCGGUUUGUCACGUCGUCUGUGAAAUCCCUCGGCUUAACCGGGGGCGUGCAGGCGAUACGGGCAGACUUGAGUACUACAGGGGAGACUGGAAUUCCUGGUGUAGCGGUGAAAUGCGCAUAUAUCACGAGGAACACCGGUGGCGAAGGCGGGUCUCUGGGUAGUAACUGACGCUGAGGAGCGAAAGCAUGAGUAGCGAACACGAUUAGAUACCCUGGUAGUCCAUGCCGUAAACGGUGGGCGCUAGGUGUGGGGUCCUUCCACGGACUCCGUGCCGUAGCUAACGCAUUAAGCGCCCCGCCUGGGGAGUACGGCCGCAACGCUAAACUCAAGGAAUUGACUGGGGCCCGCACAAGCGGCGGAGCAUGUGCAUUAAUUCGAUGCAACGCGAAGAACCU
rnacentral:rRNA from 1 species